rnacentral:tRNA from 1 species
GCCACUUUAGCUCAGUUGGUAGAGCGGCGCAUUCGUAACGCGCAGGUCACAAGUUCAAGCCUUGUAAGUGGCU